UCAUCGGGCCCAUAUGGGCGUCUCCUCCCUCGACUUGGGGCCCCGUCGCAGCCUGUGCGCGGGGCCUUCCUUCUUCCACGGC
rnacentral:sRNA from 1 species